ensembl:misc_RNA Y_RNA Y RNA
GGCUGGUCCGAAGGGAGGGAGAUUGUUCAGAGUCAGAACAGACUGGACUCCUUGUUCUGCUCGUUCCCGCCUUCUCACUACUGCACUUGACUCGUCUUAA